GUCCUGGCCUUGGUCUUCGUGAGGAAGGUCAUGGACCUCUGCUUCUCCAAGCGUGAGCUGAGCUGGCUGGACGACCUCAUGCCUGAGAGCAAAAAGAAGAAGCUGGAUGAUGCGAAGAAGAAGGAGGAGGAGGAGGAGGCUGAGAAGAUGUUGGAUAUUGGGGGUGAUAAGUUCCCCCUGGAAAGCAGGAAGUUGCUAAGUAGUCCUGGCAAGAACAACAGCUUCAGAUGUGACCCUUCUGAGAUUAAUAUAUCAGAUGAAAUGCCUAAAACCACAGUCUGGAAGGCUCUCAGCAUAAAUUCUGGAAACACGAAAGAAAAAAGGUAAGGAGAGCUCUGGCUCCUGACUUUCAUUUUCCCCUGUCUUUUGAAAACGGUGACACUGUUGAUGGUAAAAUGAGUGUUGCUUGUACCUGGGGUCACCCGCAUCACCUCCAGAAGCAGUCAGUGUGAUGUCAUGAGACCAUGGGUCACCCGCAUCACCUCCAGAAGCAGUCAGUGUGAUGUCAUGAGACCAUGGGUCACCCGCAUCACCUCCAGAAGCAGUCAGUGUGAUGUCAUGAGACCAUGGGUCACCCGCAUCACCUCCAGAAGCAGUCAGUGUGAUGUCAUGAGACCUUGGGUCACCCGCAUCACCUCCAGAAGCAGUCAGUGUGAUGUCAUGAGACCUGGGGUCACCCACAUCGCCUCCAGAAGCAAUCCAUGUAAUGUCAUGAGACCCUGGAAGAUUUGGGAACAGCAUGAGAGCAGGAGUUUUGCUGAUUUCAGGAAGGGCCCAGGGGAAGCCAGCAGCGGUAGGUACUGAGUGAGCGUCUGUCCUCGGGUUUCCUUGGAAACAGAGAGGGAGGAGCCUAACUUGCUAUGGAAGGACUUGGACUUCGAGGCUGAAGUUUUGUUCUAGGUCUGUUUUGUCUAGGGAAGACUCGCUGACAACUGUUGGUUGGUAGGAAGGUGGGUCUGGGUUGUUACGGCUUUUCUGUUUGACACGCUGCUGCC
rnacentral:lncRNA from 1 species